rnacentral:misc_RNA from 1 species
GAUGAAGAACGCAGCGAAAUGCGAUACUUGGUGUGAAUUGCAGAAUCCCGUGAACCAUCGAGUCUUUGAACGCAAGUUGCGCCUCAAGCCAUUAGGUUGAGGGCACGUCUGCCUGGGCGUCACAUAUCGUUGCCUGAUGCCAGUUUCCUCGUGAUGGGUGACUGUGCAGGGCGAAUGAUGGCUUCCCGUGAGCAUUGUUGCCUCAUGGUUGGUUGAAAAUUGAGUCCUUGGUAGGGAGCGCCGUGAUAGAUGGUGGUUGAGUGACGAACGAGACCCAAUCAUGUGAGACCCCUACCGAAUUUGGCCUUCAUGACCCACAUGCGUCUUUGGGACGCUCAUGACGAGACCUCAGGUCAGGCGGGGCUACCCGCUGAGUUUAAGCAUAUCAAUAAGCGGAGGA